ACCUCCUCACCCAGCCGCUCCGUCCUCACCGGCUCGCGAGGGAACAGCUCAGGCACCGCCGCCCCGGCUCAGCGCGGACGGCGGAGAGAGGGAGGCGGAAGGAGGACACCCUCGCUCGCUUGCUCCCACCCGCACCCGGGCUCCCAGAACCGGCGAGGAGCCCAGGGGGAGGAGCCGUCGCGGGCACGCCCCGCCCCCAGCCCGGGAAGACGACGCCAGCGACCCCGCCGGCCGGCCACCGCCCCCCUCGCCGGCCGAGACCCGCCCCCGGCCCCGGCCCUCCCCCGGCGGCAUGGAGGGGCCCCGCUCCUGACGGCCGCGCCGCCGCCUCGGCCCGUGCUCCACCUCGCGGCCCCUCCCGCCCGCCCCCGCUCGCAUGUCUGCGCCGCCCUAGCCGAGGAUGCUGAGGAUGAAGCUGCCGCUGAAGCCAACGCACCCCGCGGAGCCGCCGCCCGAGGCGGAGGAGCCCGAGGCGGACGCGCGGCCGGGCGCGAAGGCGCCUUCGCGCCGCCGCCGCGACUGCCGCCCCCCGCCGCCGCCGCCGCCGCCCGCGGGCCCGUCGCGGGGCCCUCUGCCGCCGCCGCCGCCGCCCCGGGGACUCGGGCCGCCUGUUGCUGGUGGAGCGGCGGCGGGGGCGGGUAUGCCGGGCGGCGGCGGGGGGCCCUCGGCGGCGCUGCGCGAGCAGGAGCGGGUAUACGAGUGGUUCGGGCUGGUGCUGGGCUCGGCGCAGCGCCUGGAGUUCAUGUGCGGGCUGCUGGACCUGUGCAACCCGCUGGAGCUGCGCUUCCUUGGCUCGUGCCUGGAGGACCUGGCGCGCAAGGACUACCACUACCUGCGCGACUCGGAGGCCAAGGCCAACGGCCUCUCGGACCCGGGGCCGCUGGCCGACUUCCGAGAGCCCGCGGUGCGCUCGCGCCUCAUCGUCUACCUGGCGCUGCUGGGCUCGGAGAACCGGGAGGCCGCUGGCCGUCUGCACCGCCUGCUACCCCAGGUGGACUCGGUGCUCAAAAGCCUGCGCGCGGCCCGGGGCGAGGGCUCGCGGGGCGGCGCGGAGGACGAGCGCGGCGAGGACGGCGACGGCGAGCAGGACGCCGAGAAGGACGGCUCAGGCCCGGAAGGCGGCAUUGUGGAGCCCCGGGUCGGCGGCGGGCUUGGCUCCAGGGCCCAGGAGGAACUGCUGCUGCUCUUCACCAUGGCCUCGCUGCACCCGGCUUUCUCCUUCCACCAGCGGGUCACCCUGAGGGAACACUUGGAGAGGCUCCGCGCCGCGCUCCGCGGGGGCCCCGAGGACGCGGAGGUGGAGGUAGAGCCGUGCAAGUUUGCCGGCCCCAGGGCCCAGAACAACUCUGCUCAUGGUGAUUACAUGCAAAAUAACGAGAGCAGCUUAAUAGAGCAAGCUCCAAUACCUCAGGACGGACUUACCGUGGCACCUCACAGAGCUCAGCGAGAAGCUGUACACAUUGAGAAGAUAAUGUUGAAAGGAGUCCAGAGAAAAAGAGCUGACAAAUACUGGGAGUACACUUUCAAAGUAAAUUGGUCUGAUCUUUCAGUCACAACAGUAACAAAAACCCACCAAGAACUACAGGAAUUUCUACUGAAGCUUCCAAAGGAACUGUCUUCAGAGACUUUUGACAAGACCAUCUUAAGAGCCCUGAAUCAGGGUUCCUUGAAAAGGGAGGAACGGCGACAUCCUGACCUAGAGCCCAUCCUAAGGCAGCUAUUUUCAAGUUCAUCACAAGCUUUUCUACAAAGUCAGAAAGUACACAGCUUCUUUCAGUCCAUAUCAUCAGACUCCCUACACAGUAUCAAUAACUUACAAUCCUCUCUGAAGACUUCUAAGAUAUUAGAACACUUAAAAGAAGACAGCUCUGAAGCUUCAAGUCAAGAAGAAGAUGUGUUGCAGCAUGCCAUAAUCCACAAGAAGCAUACUGGGAAAAGUCCCAUUGUGAACAAUAUUGGUACAAGUUGUUCUCCAUUGGAUGGGCUUACCAUGCAAUAUUCUGAACAGAAUGGAAUUGUGGAUUGGAGGAAGCAAAGCUGUACCACCAUUCAACACCCAGAGCACUGUGUGACCUCGGCUGACCAGCAUUCUGCUGAAAAACGGAGUUUAUCUUCAAUAAAUAAGAAGAAAGGAAAGCCACAAACAGAAAAGGAGAAAAUUAAGAAAACUGACAACAGAUUGAAUAGUAGAAUAAAUGGUAUUAGACUCUCCACUCCUCAGCAUGCCCAUGGUGGUACUGUGAAAGAUGUGAAUUUGGACAUUGGCUCUGGACAUGACACAUGUGGAGAAACAUCUUCAGAGAGUUACAGUUCUCCAUCUAGUCCCCGACAUGAUGGAAGAGAAAGUUUUGAAAGUGAAGAAGAGAAAGACAGAGACACAGACAGCAAUUCUGAGGAUUCUGGGAAUCCAUCAACAACUAGGUUUACAGGUUACGGUUCUGUCAACCAGACUGUCACUGUCAAGCCACCUGUUCAAAUUGCUUCACUAGGAAAUGAGAAUGGAAACCUUUUAGAAGAUCCCUUAAACUCACCCAAGUAUCAGCAUAUUUCUUUUAUGCCAACGUUACACUGUGUCAUGCACAAUGGUGCCCAGAAGUCUGAAGUUGUCGUUCCUGCACCCAAACCCGCUGAUGGCAAAACCAUAGGGAUGCUUGUUCCUAGUCCUGUUGCUAUUUCUGCAAUAAGGGAGUCUGCAAAUUCAACCCCUGUUGGAAUACUAGGGCCAACAGCUUGCACUGGAGAAUCGGAAAAGCACCUUGAGUUACUGGCUUCCCCUUUACCUAUUCCAUCAACCUUCCUUCCACACAGUAGUACUCCCGCUUUGCAUCUUACAGUUCAGAGGCUAAAGUUGCCACCACCACAGGGAUCUUCUGAGAGCUGCACAGUUAACAUCCCACAACAACCACCCGGAAGCCUGAGCAUCGCAUCACCAAACACUGCCUUUAUUCCUAUCCAUAACCCAGGUAGUUUCCCAGGCUCUCCUGUUGCUACCACGGACCCCAUCACAAAAUCUGCAUCCCAAGUGGUAGGACUCAAUCAAAUGGUGCCUCAAAUUGAGGGAAACACAGGGACAGUCCCUCAGCCUACCAAUGUGAAGGUAGUUCUUCCAGCAGCUGGCCUCUCAGCUGCUCAGCCACCAGCUUCCUACCCCUUACCAGGCUCUCCCCUUGCUGCCGGCGUGUUACCCAGCCAGAACUCCAGUGUGCUCAGCACAGCAGCAACUUCUCCCCAGCCAGCGAGCGCAGGUAUCAGCCAGGCCCAGGCAACUGUUCCUCCUGCAGUUCCUACCCACACCCCAGGCCCUGCCCCGAGCCCAAGCCCUGCCUUGACACACAGUACCGCGCAGAGUGACAGCACCUCUUACAUCAGUGCUGUGGGGAACACGAACGCUAAUGGGACAGUAGUGCCACCGCAGCAGAUGGGCUCAGGUCCUUGUGGUUCUUGUGGGCGAAGGUGCAGCUGUGGGACCAAUGGAAACCUUCAGCUAAAUAGUUACUAUUAUCCUAAUCCAAUGCCUGGACCAAUGUACCGAGUCCCUUCAUUCUUUACUCUGCCAUCCAUUUGCAAUGGCAGCUACCUCAACCAAGCACAUCAGAGCAAUGGAAACCAACUUCCUUUUUUUCUGCCUCAGACUCCAUAUGCAAAUGGACUGGUACAUGACCCAGUCAUGGGGAGCCAAGCCAACUAUGGCAUGCAGCAGAUGGCAGGAUUUGGGAGAUUCUAUCCUGUAUAUCCAGCACCUAACGUAGUUGCCAACACCAGUGGUUCGGGGCCCAAGAAGAAUGGGAAUGUCUCAUGUUACAAUUGUGGUGUAAGCGGACACUAUGCACAGGACUGUAAGCAGUCGUCCAUGGAGGCCAAUCAACAAGGCACUUACAGACUGAGAUACGCACCUCCCCUCCCCCCUUCUAAUGAUACGUUGGAUUCUGCAGACUGAAACGAGUAAAGCUUGCCUACUUAAUACACUCAAGUGUGGGGAGUCAUGGGGUGUGGAGGGGAGGAAAGGAAAGUUCCAAUUUGAGCCGCUGUGAAAAAGGCCUCCACCAGCCUCUCACCAGAAGAGAUUGCUCAUUGGAACGCAAUGCCACCUGGUGGGGGACGAGGACAGUGCGAGCAAGCAGAUGUUAUUUCCUACUGACCUAAUUUAGAGAACAUUAAACGUAAGAGAGGGAACAUUUGGGGUUGGAAGCCUGUGCCCAAAACCUUAAAGAGUGCAGGCAGCUGGCCAUAAAAGCAGCUUGAGCAAACCCCUCAUUCAGCCGUUGAAAUGUGUGUGUGAACACUUUAAAGGUUUCCUCUGUGCUUUUCCUGCGUGCAUUUGGUCAUCACAGCUGUGAAGUGGGGUGGGAAUGUUUCCCCUCGUUUUCUAGGAGAGAAAUUUUGGGUUCAGUGAGACGAAGUGCUGCAGACAGGCCCAUGGUGAUGCUCAGGCCUCUGCUUGAAGUUGGUGCUCACUUCCUGGCACCACUUCCUGCCCCCACCAGUGCUUCUGGCAGAGCCCAGGGCAGUGGCUUUAUGGAACUGUGUAAGGUGAUAGGAACCCACAGGUGGAAUGGCCGUGUGGCCUCUGGACUGAGGAGGGCUGGACCAGGUUGUGGGCACGCCUGGAACACACGCCACAUCCUAUCCCAUAGCGAGGCCUCUUCCUUGUGGCUCUCGAAGGAUUUGAGGACGCGGGAGGGUGAAAUGUUUCCAGAGAAAUAUCCAGGACUUUUAGAACUAGGCUUUCAAAAGCAUUUACCUGUCAGAUAAAUUCAAGUGGCAUCAAUGCAGAUUUUAAAUGUGUACAGAUAUCUCCACUCGCACGCUGAGUUGUGCUUCACACAAGUUUUGCGCACGGAGUAUUCCAUUAAAUCUACUGAAGCAGUGGGGCAAGGAGAAAGGAGAGGUGACUGCUGAUGUUUUUAAAGCUCUGACAGUCACAUAUAGAUUGUCCCAGGUACCCCUGCUGCCCCCAAGACACUCCAAAGGCAAAGAUGGAUGGUGACAAAGUAACCUUCAUGCAGAAACAAGAACAGUCACCCCCAACAACAAGCCCUGCUGAAGGUGAAGAAUGCCACCAGGCUGCCUGGCAGUUACUGAGUGCUUAUUCCUGCUAGCCUAUUGGAGUCACGUCAUAUUUGUUACAUGGUAACUUAAUUGUGCCUUCCACGCCUUCACAAAAUCAGUUGUACAAGAGAAGGCACCCACCACAGUCCAUGUGACCUUUCUCGGUCUGAUUUACAUAGUGGGGAUGAUGACACUCGCGUUGUAGAGUAGUUGCACGAUUAAACCUGGCACACAGACAUAAAGCACUCAAUGUCUGACACAUAGUGGACUCUCAAGAAGUUUGUCAUGCAGGGGACACUUGAAUGCCCAGUAUGGGCCAGACAGCAUCAGCUCAUUUCAGUCCCACAGCCCUGUGAGGGAGGAACUCUGCCCUGUUUUACAGUUAGGGAAAUUGAGGCACAAAGGCUAAGAAGUCGAUAUCCAAGGGCACAGAAUGAUUGGGUGACGGUGAGCCCAGGCAGUGUGACAACAAGGUUGCUGCCCCACGCCACCUCUGUCUUUCGUGGGUAUGUCGGUGUGAGGUGUAGGCAGCCCUGCACUGGCAUUCAGCAGGCGGGACUCCCGGGCAGGCUCUUCUGCGAACACUCAUGGGCCACCAGCCCUUUCUGGAACUUGCCUUUUUUUUUUUUUUUUACCUGAAAGCUACGUGAAUCGUUGGUAAAUUGGUGUAAAAAUGGAACUGAGUCAUCUCAAAAGUUCCUUUCAGUUCUAAAAUUCUGUGAAUUGAAGCCUACUUUUUCACUUUAAAUGAUUUAUUGGGUUUACAGUUCUUUACGCUUUCUGAUUGAACUGAUUUGAAGUUCUUAUUUCGUGUGUUGGGGAACACACCCCCAACCCGUCACAGCGUGGCCGUGGGUGGGAGAUGGACGUUAGGCUGGCCAGUCACUAGGGGGCAGCAUCAGCACGGGUCUGGCUGUCCCUGGCCUUAGGGAGCAGUUUCUGCCCCUCCUGCCCCGUCAGAAAGUCUCGGACUCCUCUCUGCUUGCAUGUGUAAAGUUUUCAUUUUCAGGGGCCUUUUAGUCAAAAAAAAUAAAGCUGUAUGACUUAGUGCUGAAGGAUAUGAAUUAGGCGUAGCUCUUGGGUUGGCAGCAUAAACCAAGGGGCAUCAACCCACCACCGACAAGCUAAGAAUGGUUUUUACAUCUUUAAAUGGUUGAAAAAGGAAAAAGAAUGUUUAGUGACACGUGAAAAAUACAUGAAAUUCAAACUUCAGUGUCUACAAAUAAAGUGCAUUAGCACACGGUC